rnacentral:rRNA from 1 species
AAGUCGAGCGGAUGAAGGGAGCUUGCUCUCUGAUUCAGCGGCGGACGGGUGAGUAAUGCCUAGAAAUCUGCCUGAUAGUGGGGGACAACGUUUCGAAAGGAACGCUAAUACCGCAUACGUCCUACGGGAGAAAGCAGGGGACCUUCGGGCCUUGCGCUAUCAGAUGAGCCUAGGUCGGAUUAGCUAGUUGGUGAGGUAAUGGCUCACCAAGGCGACGAUCCGUAACUGGUCUGAGAGGAUGAUCAGUCACACUGGAACUGAGACACGGUCCAGACUCCUACGGGAGGCAGCAGUGGGGAAUAUUGGACAAUGGGCGAAAGCCUGAUCCAGCCAUGCCGCGUGUGUGAAGAAGGUCUUCGGAUUGUAAAGCACUUUAAGUUGGGAGGAAGGGCAUUAACCUAAUACGUUAGUGUUUUGACGUUACCGACAGAAUAAGCACCGGCUAACUUCGUGCCAGCAGCCGCGGUAAUACGAAGGGUGCAAGCGUUAAUCGGAAUUACUGGGCGUAAAGCGCGCGUAGGUGGUUUGUUAAGUUGGAUGUGAAAGCCCCGGGCUCAACCUGGGAACUGCAUCCAAAACUGGCAAGCUAGAGUAUGGCAGAGGGUGGUGGAAUUUCCUGUGUAGCGGUGAAAUGCGUAGAUAUAGGAAGGAACACCAGUGGCGAAGGCGACCACCUGGGCUAAUACUGACACUGAGGUGCGAAAGCGUGGGGAGCAAACAGGAUUAGAUACCCUGGUAGUCCACGCCGUAAACGAUGUCGACUAGCCGUUGGGAU